CAGAACCGGAGCGCACAACCAGCAGUUAUUGGGUGGCUGUUCACUGGAGUUUGGGGCUUAUGAAAGAAUGAUAAAACCCUAACACAAACAGGCCUUGCUUCUCUCGUCUGUCUUGCAAAAAAAAUCUUUCAAUGGCUGAUAGAGGCGUAGUGAAACUGAUCACCCUAGGUGGCAAGGGCUCGUCUCUUUCAUCCUCCUCCGUCUACGCCGUCGCCACCGGCCAAGCUCAGUUACGUAAUGACUCAUCGGCGCUCGAUAGACUACUCUCCGAUCAAAACCCUGCGUCGCCUCUCAAACCAUUCCAAAUCCCCUUUCCCAAAACUUUUACCCCAAUUGAAAUUCGUGCCUCUCUCACUUUUCUCCUCAAUAAGGUCCUCCUCCCCUCCAAUUCAUCCAACAUCCGUACCCUUCUUCCUAAUCUCAUUUCCAAAAGCCUUAAUUCGAAAUUUGAGACUUGGAAUUUCGACUCCAUUGAUGUGACCCAAGAGGAACGCCUCGUACUAGAGAAAUCAUCUGCUCAUGUGUACGGUGUUUGUUCCAUUUUGGACUAUGAAUCUACGGCUUUGGCUUCACUUGUGGAUUCGGUGGCUGCGCUGUCGUGUGAGGCGGCCAAGGCUGACGUGGCUGUGUUUGGUUCCAUGGACACCGGAGAUGGUUUCGUUGACAAGGAGGGGACUGGGGUUGCCGGAGACAUGAAGAUGUUGCUUAAUGGGUCUAAGCUGGUAGGUAAGGUUCAGAACGAAGCAUUUUCUAAGAUUCCCAAAAUUAAUGGGAGAUUGAGGGAGGUGGUGAAAUCAGUGCAUUCUGUGACGCGUGUCUCAUUGAAUUCCCGUGAGGAAGUCUAUGAGGGUGAUGCCAUCCCGGCGGUGUUAGCAUUGUCUGCAGCUCUUCAGAAUUUGGGGAAGAGUAGCUUUUGUCGGGCCAAAGCUAAUUUAGAUGCAGUGGGUAAUGAAAGUCUGAAAACUGGUUUGCUAAGCAUGUUUGAGAAGAAAUGCCCCAAUGAGAAUGUGUUAAGAAAUGCUUAUAGGCUGGUUUUGGAUUCGGACUUUGAGGAAGACACUUGGAAAUUUGUGCAUGAAGUGAAUGCAUUAUUGGGCACCGUGUGGAGUAUUGUUGCCUGGGAGGGGAUAACAGCUUUUGUUGCACUUGAAGGUGGAGAAUUGAUGAGUGCAAAGGGUGUUGAAGAAAUUGGAGUGAACGGGAGGGAUGAGAAGGUGGUAAAGAAGGGUGAGAAGAAGAAGAAAAAGGCGACUUUGGGGAAAGGGACUAGUGUGAUUGUACAAUUAAUUAAGGAUAGGUUGCAGGUCAAGGGAGGGGAUUCCAGUGAUAGUUUGCAGGUAUUGGAAAAGUGGGUUCAAGAUCUUUUGUUGUUUUUGGAUCCAAAAGAACCCGAUUUUGAUGAACUAGUGCAAAAAGUGAAAGAGAUUGUGGAAAGCAAUGAAAGUAGAAGACUUCCAAAACUUCCAAAGGGGACUCGUGAUUUUGCAAAAGAACAAAUGGCGAUAAGAGAGAGAGCAUUUUCAAUAAUAACAGAGGUUUUCAAGAGGCAUGGUGCCACGGCCUUAGACACUCCUGCAUUUGAAUUGAGAGAGACUCUUAUGGGGAAAUAUGGGGAGGAUUCAAAAUUAAUUUAUGAUCUUGCCGACCAGGGUGGAGAGCUUUGUUCUUUGCGGUAUGACUUAACUGUUCCAUUUGCUAGGUAUGUGGCUAUGAAUGGCAUCACCUCCUUUAAACGGUAUCAAAUAGCUAAGGUGUACAGGAGAGAUAACCCAUCUAAGGGAAGAUACCGUGAAUUUUAUCAAUGUGACUUUGAUAUUGCUGGCCAAUAUGAAGAAAUGGGACCAGAUUUUGAGAUUGUUAAGAUUUUGACAGAAUUGCUUGAUGAGCUAGACAUUGGAGAUUAUGAGGUUAAAUUGAAUCAUCGGAAGUUGUUGGAUGGUAUGCUAGAAAUUUGUGGAGUGCCACCUGAAAAGUUUCGUACUAUUUGUUCAAGCAUUGACAAACUAGACAAGCAAUCCUUUGAACAAGUUAAAAAAGAAAUGGUUGAGGAGAAGGGAUUAAAUGUUGAGACAGCAGACAGAAUUGGCACUUUUGUGAAGGAAAGAGGACAAGCUAAGGAAUUAUUAUCAAAGCUUAAACAGGAGGGAAGCAAGUUUUUGGAAAACACUUCUUCUAAACGUGCAUUGGAUGACUUGGAGAUUUUAUUUGAUGCUUUGGAGAAGUCAAAGUGCAUUGACAAAGUGGUUUUUGACUUGAGUCUUGCUAGAGGGCUUGAUUAUUACACUGGAGUCAUAUUUGAAACUGUUUUUAAGGGGACUACACAGGUUGGUUCAAUUGCUGCUGGAGGACGAUAUGACAACCUUAUAGGAAUGUUUGGUACAAAGCAGGUUCCAGCUGUUGGGGUCAGUCUUGGAAUUGAGCGAGUAUUUACUAUAAUGGAGCAACUUCAAAAGGACCGGAAGCAGACAACGAGACCUACUGAAACCCAAGUUCUGCUGAGCAUACUUGGGGAUAAAAGUAAACUAUCUUUAGCUGCAGAGCUUGUCAGUGAGCUAUGGAGUGCCAUGGUGAAAGCAGAAUACGUUGUGAGUACCAGGUUUAGUAAGCAUAUUGAUCGUGCCAAAGAGUCAAGAAUUCCGUGGAUGAUACUUGUAGGUGAUAAGGAGCUUGAGAAAGGGAUUGUAAAAGUAAAGAAUCUUGAGACCACAGUCGAAGAAGAAGUUCCUAGAAGUACAUUUGUUGAAGAAAUUAGGAGACGGUUGAACCUUUGAAAAUCCCAUCUGGUAGACGCAAAACCUGAGCCAUUGUUACCGAAGCAUUUAUAAUUCUGUGGAUGUGGUGGGCAAAGGCAUUGACACUAAAAGCCCAAAAUGAUUUUUUUUUUAAAAUUUUUAAUAUAUAUAUUUUUAAUGUUUAAUCUUCUCUAUUAUUUUAAUUGGAUGGUAUAUCAAAAGCUCCAAAAGAAUAGGUUGUACUACUCUAAUUAUGAGAAUCGAUGUGCUGUUAAAUGCGAUUUGACAAAAGAAUGAUUGUUACGUUAUAGUUUUUUGAAGUGAAGGCUGCUGAGUGAUGGGAUUUGUUUGUU
rnacentral:misc_RNA from 1 species